UACGGAGGGGGCUAGCGUUGUUCGGAAUUACUGGGCGUAAAGCGCGCGUAGGCGGACCUGCAAGUCGGGGGUGAAAUCCUGGAGCUCAACUCCAGAACUGCCUUCGAUACUGGCGAUCUCGAGUUCGGGAGAGGUGAGUGGAACUGCGAGUGUAGAGGUGAAAUUCGUAGAUAUUCGCAAGAACACCAGUGGCGAAGGCGGCUCACUGGCCCGAUACUGACGCUGAGGUGCGAAAGCGUGGGGAGCAAACAGG
rnacentral:rRNA from 1 species